GAUCAUGGCUCGGGAUGAACGCUGGCGGCGUGCUUAACACAUGCAAGUCGAGCGAAGCACUUUGCUUUGAUUUCUUCGGGAUGAAGAGCUUAGUGACUGAGCGGGCGGACGGGUGAGUAACGCGUGGGUAACCUGCCUCAUACAGGGGGAUAACAGUUAGAAAUGACUGCUAAUACCGCAUAAGGCCACAGCACCGCAUGGUGCAGGGGUAAAAACUCCGGUGGUAUGAGAUGGACCCG
rnacentral:rRNA from 1 species